rnacentral:rRNA from 1 species
UACGGAGGGGGCUAGCGUUGUUCGGAAUUACUGGGCGCAAAGCGCGCGUAGGCGGACCUGCAAGUCGGGGGUGAAAGCCCGAGGCUCAACCUCGGAACUGCCUUCGAUACUGCGGGUCUCGAGUCCGGGAGAGGUGAGUGGAAUUCCUGGUGUAGCGGUGAAAUGCGCAGAUAUCAGGAAGAACACCCGUGGCGAAAGCGGCUCUCUGGAACGGUACUGACGCUGAGACGCGAAAGCGUGGGG